rnacentral:rRNA from 1 species
UACAGAGGGUGCGAGCGUUGUCCGGAAUCACUGGGCGUAAAGGGCGCGUAGGUGGCCCGACAAGUCAAUGGUGAAAGCUCGACGCUUAACGUCGAGUCGGCCACUGAUACUGUUGGGCUGGAGCACUGUAGAGGCUCAUGGAAUUCCGGGUGUAGCGGUGGAAUGCGUAGAGAUCCGGAAGAACACCGGUGGCGAAGGCGGUGAGCUGGGCAGUUGCUGACACUGAGGCGCGACAGCGUGGGGAGCAAACGGG